AAAGCCAAAAGAUAAAAAAGACAAAAAUUGUCAGCUUUUCUCCUUGAUCUCAGGUUACAGUUUCAAUGCAAUUGUUGUCUCUCUUGCAAGCUGAGGCGUUGUUCUCUGUUCUCUUCCUUCUAUCUUGCAUAUUUCAGGUGAUUUCUCUAGUUGAAUGAGGUUAAAGUUCCUAAUGUGCUGGUGUUGGUUGUUGGAUAUCUAGCUUGCUUUUGUCCCUCGGAUUGAUCAGUUAACUCAAUGGCUUCUACAAUUACCAAAAUCGUUAAAGAAGCCGAGGCCACAAUUGCAAAACACAAGUAGUAUCAAAGACAAAGAAGUACUGGAGAAGGGGAUAGAAGUAUCAAUUAGUAGAAAUGCAAGCAUCAUGAGUAUGGAUAUUCACGGUUUGGGUAAAACUCGAUCCAAAUCAAAUAAUUGAAUCAAAAUGAUUAAACAAAUUGAUUUUUAUUUGGUUUGAUUUUAUAUUUUUUUUUAAAAUGAUAAUAUUUGAUUUUGUUCAAAAAUAUUGAAGAAAUAACUUAA